UACGGGGGGGGCAAGCGUUGUUCGGAAUUACUGGGCGUAAAGGGCUCGUAGGCGGCCAACUAAGUCUGACGUGAAAUCCCUCGGCUUAACCGGGGAACUGCGUCUGAUACUGGAUGGCUUGAGAUUGGGAGAGGGAUGCGGAAUUCCAGGUGUAGCGGUGAAAUGCGUAGAUAUCUGGAGGAACACCGGUGGCGAAGGCGGCAUCCUGGACCAACACUGACGCUGAGGAGCGAAAGCCAGGGGAGCAAACGGG
rnacentral:rRNA from 1 species